rnacentral:rRNA from 1 species
UUUACGGAGAGUUUGAUCCUGGCUCAGGAUGAACGCUGGCGGCGUGCUUAACACAUGCAAGUCGAACGGUGAA